rnacentral:rRNA from 1 species
UACGUAGGGGGCAAGCGUUAUCCGGAUUUACUGGGUGUAAAGGGGGCGCAGACGGCGAUGCAAGCCAGGAGUGAAAGCCCGGGGCCCAACCCCGGGACUGCUCUUGGAACUGCGUGGCUGGAGUGCAGGAGGGGCAGGCGGAAUUCCUGGUGUAGCGGUGAAAUGCGUAGAUAUCAGGAGGAACACCGGUGGCGAUGGCGGCCUGCUGGACUGCAACUGACGUUGAGGCCCGAAAGCGUGGGGAGCAAACAGG